rnacentral:ncRNA from 20 species
CCCGUCUCAAAGGGGUGCUCCAAAUAACGAGCUGAGAUCAUACCCAAAGAACCUGGGCGGGUAAUGCUGCCAAGGGAAUAAACGACAAAAAAUA